CUGACCGCUGGCGGCGUGCCUAAUACAUGCAAGUCGAGCGAACAGACGAGGAGCUUGCUCCUCUGACGUUAGCGGCGGACGGGUGAGUAACACGUGGAUAACCUACCUAUAAGACUGGGAUAACUUCGGGAAACCGGAGCUAAUACCGGAUAAUAUAUUGAACCGCAUGGUUCAAUAGUGAAAGACGGUUUUGCUGUCACUUAUAGAUGGAUCCGCGCCGCAUUAGCUAGUUGGUAAGGUAACGGCUUACCAAGGCAACGAUGCGUAGCCGACCUGAGAGGGUGAUCGGCCACACUGGAACUGAGACACGGUCCAGACUCCUACGGGAGGCAGCAGUAGGGAAUCUUCCGCAAUGGGCGAAAGCUUGACGGAGCAACGCCGCGUGAGUGAUGAAGGUCUUCGGAUCGUAAAACUCUGUUAUUAGGGAAGAACAAAUGUGUAAGUAACUAUGCACGUCUUGACGGUACCUAAUCAGAAAGCCACGGCUAACUACGUG
rnacentral:rRNA from 1 species